ACAACAGGGAUUGCCCUAGUAACGGCGAGUGAAGCGGCAAAAGCUCAAAUUUGAAAUCUGGCUCCCUCGGGGGCCCGAGUUGUAAUUUGUAGAGGGUGCUUUGGCGCUGGCAGCGGUUCAAGUUCCUUGGAACAGGACGUCGCAGAGGGUGAGAAUCCCGUACGUGGCUGCCUGCCGUCGCCUUGUAAAGCCCCUUCGACGAGUCGAGUUGUUUGGGAAUGCAGCUCUAAAUGGGAGGUAAAUUUCUCCUAAAGCUAAAUACCGGCCAGAGACCGAUAGCGCACAAGUAGAGUGAUCGAAAGAUGAAAAGCACUUUGGAAAGAGAGUCAAAAAGCACGUGAAAUUGUUGAAAGGGAAGCGCUUGCAGCCAGACGUGCCUACGGUUGUCCUCUCCCGCAGGCAGGCCAGCAUCAGUCUGGGCGAUUGGAGAAAGGCCUCUGUCAAGUAUCUCCCUCCGGGGUGACCUUAUAGGGGAGGUGUAAUGCAAUCAGCCCGGACUGAGGUCCGCGCAUCCGCUAGGAUGCUGGCGUAAUGGCUGCAAGCGGCCCGUCUUGAAACACGGACCAAGGAGUCUAACAUCUACGCGAGUGUUUGGGUGUCAAGCCCGAGCGCGCAAUGAAAGUGAACGGAGGUGGGAACCUCCUCAGGGGGUGCACCAUCGACCGAUCCUGAAGUCUUCGGAUGGAUUUGAGUAAGAGCGUGGCUGUUGGGACCCGAAAGAUGGUGAACUAUGCUUGAAUAGAGUGAAGCCAGAGGAAACUCUGGUGGAGGCUCGCAGCGGUUCUGACGUGCAAAUCGAUCGUCAAAUUUGGGCAUAGGGGCGAAAGACUAAUCGAACCAUCU
rnacentral:rRNA from 1 species